GGGGCUUGCGGUGUAUUAGCUAGUUGUGGGGGUAAUGGGCUACCAAGGCAACGAUGCAUAUCCGAGCUGAGAGGCUGAUCGGACACACUGGGACUGAGACACGGCCCAGACUCCUACGGGAGACAGCAGUUAGGAAUAUUCGUCAAUGGGGGAAACCCUGAACGAGCAAUGCCGCGUGAGUGAUGAAGGCCCUAUGGGGUUUGUAAAAACUACUGUUAUUUUGGGGAAGAAUAGACUAGUAUAGGAAAUGAUAUUAGUUUGACGGUACCUUAUCAGAAAAGCCCCGGCUAACUUACGUGCC
rnacentral:rRNA from 1 species